UAUGAUGGCUUGCUGAAGGACUUAGUGUUACAGAUGAUGCAGAUUUAAACGUGGGAUGUGAUGGUCCAAGUCAAACAUUAUCCAUAUUUAAGUGGUUGCAAUCAGAAAAGAUGUAUGGGUGGGUAAUGUUGAUCAUAUACUCAAGAGAAACAAAAGAGGAAGGGGCCUCUUACCUAGUUUGUUUUAAAACAUGUGGGUAUUUUUUGGAUAGCUGCAAGAAUUUGCAAUUUUCAAAUUUAUUUUCAGUAAUAAUGAUGUUUAUUGCAGGACAUGUUUCCCCCCCUCUCUUACAGUUUCACGGGCAUGACAUGUUAUUUUCUCUCCCUAAUAACAAAAUUGCCAUAUUUAUUACAUGGUGGGUUAUUCUGACCUGGUUCAGAAACAUGAUAAAUAAUCAACUCAAUGAGAUAUUGUUAGCAGAUCGAGAGAGACAUCCAAGCUUCUCUUGUCAGGGUGAGACUAAACUGCAGAAAAUGUGGACGGCCAAAUGUCAUACAGCAUUCAUCACUUGCAAGGUAACUGACUUCUUCUGAAUUCACUCAGGCAGAAAGUGAACAGCUGUCAAUGCUGAUCAAGGAGAAGGGAAAUACAGCUUCCAGGGAUGAGAUUCCUCCCCCCGCUUUGUUUUCAACAUCUUUAGUUAAAACAACGUUAUUUAGCCACUAAAAAAAUUGGAAAGUAACUACUACAAAAGUCUAGACCAGCGGUUCUCAACCUGUGGGUCCCCAGAUGUUGUUGGACUACAACUCCCAUCAUCCCUGAUCUCUGGCCUUGUUAGCUAGGGAUGAUGGGAGUUGUAGUCCAAUAACAUCUGGGGACCCAUAGGUUGAGAAAGGCUGGUCUAGACACUGAAAAUCUUUUGGUUUGUCUAUUCAGUGUAGCCUAAAUAUUUGGCCUGAAACAGACAUCACACUCAACCAUGGUUUGCUCUCCUUAAGCAGAGUUUAGAUAAUAACACAUAAUGUCUGUAUUUACACAACACAACAAGCCAGAGUUGCUGGGCUUGUUGUGAUUUAUGGGAAGGGUAGGGAACAUUUUUCAGCCUGUGGACCAUGUUGCCUUCUGGGCAACUUUCUGAGGGGCACAUAGUGCUGGAUGGGGCCAGAUGCAAACAUGGACAGAACACCAAAUUUAAAGUCUGCCUUGGUAAAGGUAAAGGUAAAGGGACCCCUGACCAUUAGGUCCAGUCGUGAUGGACUCUGGGGUUGCGGCGCUCAUCUCGCUUUAUUGGCCAAGGGAACCGGCGUACUGCUUCCGGGUCAUGUGGUAGGCUAAUUUAUACACUGUCAACACCCCCCACCCCCAAUCUAUCAUCUAACUAGAAAAACAAGAGGCACAAUCAGAUUUCAAGAACACAUUUCAGGUGGGCAAAAACACCUGGCGUGAGAAGCAGGGUCUGACUGAUCAGGAAUCAGCUGUGUGCUGGUACACCCUGGCUGAUCAUACAGUACCUUGCGCCACCAAAUUUGCUUAUAUCUACUUUAGACCCAGCUACCUAACUUGAUCUUAAUUUUCCUAUUACAGAAGUGGAGCUAACAGGGAAGAGGGAAGGAAGACUUCCCUGAAGUUACUAGGUACUGUGAAAUCAUGUCACCGUUAAGUUACUGUAAGAGAAAACCAGAAGCUGAUUUCAGUUAAAUUGCGGGCUUGGUGCAAGCAGGGGGUUUGUUGCUGCCAUUAUUCAAAGCUUGAAGUUCCACCGACCUCUGGAGGUCAGGAGGAAGAGCUUUCUGUAAAAUCAGAACCGAAAAAGAGAGAGAGAAGAGCAAUUAAAAAGACCCGCAGAGACAGAAGCACAUCAAGGAGAGACAAAGGGUAGCAAUUUGUGUGGAAUGGAGUAGAGGCAAAGAGCUUCAGGAACGGAAAUGGAAUUCUGGGAGGUUUGCUUUGGCAGUGAUGACAUAGGAGAUCUCAGUUGAGCACAUCAUUAUCCAGAGCAAUGCUUUCCUCCCUGCUGGUGCUCAAAAGAACAGAAGGAAAAGAAACACCUGAAAGGGGUUGGGGGAAGGAUACAUCAAAGAGUGCCAGAAAAACCCCUGAUAUGUUCAUUUUCACAGAACUGUAAAACUAUUUCCCCCCUUCUCUCCCUGGCAGAAACAACAUGUUGACUCAGAAGCAAGUCCUACUGAUUUCAAUGAGGCUUACUCCUGUGUAACUGGGUAUCUGCCUGCAGCCUGAACAACUUAAAAGUUAUUUCCAGGAAAGCCACAAAAGUAUGUCUUGGUUCCUUCCCACCUCCAGUGCCCAGCAUUUUGAGACAAUUUAUUCAAACCAUAUGAGCAAACAACAUUCAGCAAUACUAAACCACCUUGCUGCUGUUUGCCUGCCAUGUUACGCUCUCGUCUAUUUAAUUCCUUUCCCAGAGUCAAUUAUUUGAUGUAAUAAAAAUAAAUGUCACUGCAAUUAUAUGAUGUGACUGCAGAAUCUCCGUAAUGGAAUAUAUUUUAAUGCGAUGUAAAUCAACCAAGCCUUAUAUAAUCUGCAAAUUAGCCUGAUGCAACACUUAACAAAAGCUGUGAUAGGCGAGUGGAAUACAUUAGAUCAAUUGAGGUGAUUUCCUGAAGGACCUGAUUUGGAGAAGAUGGGUUGCAUCCUGAGCUGGCCUUCUGGGAACAGAAGUGUCCUUUCCUUCCCAGAAGGUGGUGAAGAUACCAAGGGACGGCCCAGUUAGAGGAAGGGUGGGGAGCCAGUAACCCUCCAAAUGUUGCUGACCUACAACUCCAACCAUCCCUGAUCAUUAGCUGUGCUGAAGUUCAACAAAGUAUGGUGGGUCACAGGUUUUCAGCAAAUUCCCCCUGCAGUCCACAUUCUGGAUGGUUCGCCAACCCUCCAGAGCAACACUGUCUUCCCACUUUCUCCAGUGGGAUCUCACAGGAAUUCUGCUGUGUAUAAGACCACAAUAAUCAGGAUCAGGGCCCAUUAAUCCAGCAUCCUAUUCUCACAAUGGCUAACCAGACGCUCAUGGGAAGCCCAUAAACAGAAUCUGAGCACAACGCCACUAUCUGUCAUGGACUGGCUGGACUCAGAGGAAUGGUUGGAGGCACCAGCUGUGGAACCACCAAGGGAUGAAGGUUCAGAGCCUGGAUAUUGGUGGUAGGACGACAAUGAGUGGUCAAAGGAAGAAGAGAGAGAAGCCUGGGAGGAGGAGGUGUUGGAAGCUGGAAAGGUAACAGAGUUGUAUUGAUCAGGGAGAGUCUGCAGCAGACAGAAGUCCAGAAUUAGAAGCAGACGUAGAAGCAGGAGAGGAAGAGGCCCAAGAGGCAGAGAUGAAUCCAGCUGGUGAAGAAGCCAGGGUCUCUCCCCCUCCUGGUGUGACAAGCUCUCAUCCUCACGAUUCUCCCAGGGUCAGAAGAGGUAUGAAGAGGGAGCAGCAAAGACAGGUGUGCCAGCAUAGUCUCAGAUUGCUUGGGAAGGAGGAGGAGGAGGCGAAGACUUAGGCAGCUGUGGAAGGUGGAGACCUUCAGCCCCCACAACUGCCUCAAGGGGCAAGAUCUACCGAGAAGAGUUGCUGUACUCAUUAGGCCCGGCACUACUGAG